rnacentral:rRNA from 1 species
UUCUGGAUGAGCCCGCGUCCCAUCAGCUAGUGUAGGGUAAUGGCCUACCAAGGCUACGACGGGUAGCUGGUCUAAGAGGAUGGCCAGCCACACUGGAACUGAGACACGGUCCAGACUCCUACGGGAGGCAGCAGUGGGGAAUCUUGCGCAAUGGGCGAAAGCCUGACGCAGCGACGCCGCGUGGGUGACGAAGGCCUUCGGGGUUGUAAAAGCCCCUGUGGGGUAGAACGAACUGGCAUCGGGCUAAUAUCCCGGUGUCUUGACGGUACUGCCUUAGCAAGCAUCGGCUAACUCUGUGCCAGCAGCCGCGGUAAGACAGAGGAUGCGAACGUUGCUCGGAUUUACUGGGCGUAAAGCGCGUGUAGGCGGUCUCGUUAGUCGGGUGUGAAAGCCCCGGGCUCAACCCGGGAAGUGCACCCGAUACUGCGAGACUGGGGUACUGAAGAGGAGAGCGGAAUUCCCGGUGUAGAGGUGAAAUUCGUAGAUAUCGGGAGGAACACCAGUGGC